rnacentral:lncRNA from 1 species
GUGCAAAAGAAGAAAUAAGGGAGUGAGGGAGUGGGAUAGAGCAAGGGAGGGAGGGAGAAGAGGGAGGAAGUGGGAGAGAGAUGGGGAGAGGGAAGGGAAAAAAGGAGGAAGGAAGGCAGGAGAGAGAGAGGAGAGGGAGGGGGAGAGAGAGCCAGACAGAUAAGACCUCUUGGCAGAGGAAUAACUUGCUUUUCCAUACAAAGGAGUCAAAGCGAAUUCAUCUCAGCAAGAGAGGUGGGCAUCUAUAUUCCUGGGCAGGUUUUUUUUCUUGUGUGAGUGUUUGAUUGUGACUACACUCCCCUGGGUUGCCGGUGUCCCUGGGGAAAUCUUAUGUGGUGUUGGGGCUAUUCUGUGAGCUGCCUGAGGAUGUGGGAACAGAGGACUCGGGAGGGCUGUGUUCUAAGGUCUACAACAUCCUUGACGAUACUUAUAAAUUCCAGAACCACAAGACUGAAAUGGAACAACUGAUCCAACUCCCUUAUUUACAGAUGGAGAGACUGAGGCCUGGAGAGGGACAAGGACUUGUAUCAAGGCAUAUAACUAAUAAGUAAUAAGCUGAAUAUCAAGCUUUUUUAUUUUUAAAGAAUUCCCCUUUUCUCAGGGGAAAGUAGGACCUUUGCCUUCAGAUGUCAAAGCUUUGCUGGCCUCACUAGAUUUAGGUUUGUUUAUUGGUUCAUUUAGCAGCUGGUCAGAGCAGGCUGAAACACCAAAUGUGGCUGUCCAGAGAAGGGUCAUCAUCUCCCUUGCCCAGAUUCCCAUGGCCAGGAACCUCCUUUUAUCCCUCACCCCACCAAUCCUUCCCACUGUCCUCUGCUGACAUCCCCUCCACCAGACUGAGCCCAGUUUGUGUUUAGUUUAAUAAUCUCCCGAAAGUUUAAUUGUUGCCUUAUUCAUCCGUGACCUUUCCCUCUCAUCUGGAGACAUAUUAUUGCUAAUCUACAAAUUUCAAGAAGUAGAUUUAUUUGCAAAACCAAUUACCUGACUAUGCAAAUCGCCUCUCUCUUUGCUGCCUGCUCCAAAGGGGCCUCGCUGUUGUCCCAGAUAGAGACACUAUUCAAAUACUUAAAUGUAAAAAACUUAUCUAUAUUUCUUCUGAGCUAGGCCUAGGCUGGUCUCUGCUGCAUGAAAGCUAAUUAGAAUCUUUACAAUCAGAUUCGGGGGGCCCUGACCUCGAUGCGGGGCCCCCCAGUUUGACCUCGAAAGUUUCCCUAGAGAAUCAGGGUUGGAUAAUGGAGCAGGCUUGAUGAUAAGCUUCUUGCUUCAUUGCCCCUUGACCCGGCGAAA